CAUGAAGCUGGAAUCGCUAGUAAUCGCGGAUCAGAAUGCCGCGGUGAAUACGUUCCCGGGUCAUGUACACACCGCCCGUCACACCAUGGGAGCCGGUAACGCCCGAAGUCAGUGACCCAACCGAGAGGAGGGAGCUGCCGAAGGCGGGACAGGUAACUGGGGUGAAGUCGUAACAAGGUACC
rnacentral:rRNA from 1 species